AGUUUGACUGGGGCGGUCUCCUCCCAAAGAGUAACGGAGGAGCACGAAGGUGGGCUAAUCACGGUUGGACAUCGUGAGGUUAGUGCAAUGGCAUAAGCCCGCUUAACUGCGAGAAUGACGGUUCGAGCAGGUGCGAAAGCAGGUCAUAGUGAUCCGGUGGUUCUGUAUGGAAGGGCCAUCGCUCAACGGAUAAAAGGUACUCCGGGGAUAACAGGCUGAUACCGCCCAAGAGUUCAUAUCGACGGCGGUGUUUGGCACCUCGAUGUCGGCUCAUCACAUCCUGGGGCUGAAGUCGGUCCCAAGGGUAUGGCUGUUCGCCAUUUAAAGUGGUACGCGAGCUGGGUUUAGAACGUCGUGAGACAGUUCGGUCCCUAUCUGCCGUGGGCGUUGGAAGAUUGAAGGGGGCUGCUCCUAGUACGAGAGGACCGGAGUGGACGAACCUCUGGUGUUCGGGUUGUGUCGCCAGACGCAUUGCCCGGUAGCUAAGUUCGGAAUUGAUAAGCGCUGAAAGCAUCUAAGCGCGAAGCGAGCCCUGAGAUGAGUCUUCCCUGAUACUUUAAGUAUCCUAAAGGGUUGUUCGAGACUAGAACGUUGAUAGGCAGGGUGUGUAAGCGUUGUGAGGCGUUGAGCUAACCUGUACUAAUUGCCCGUGAGGCUUAACCAUACAACACCCAAGG
rnacentral:rRNA from 1 species